UACGUAGGGUGCGAGCGUUGUCCGGAAUUAUUGGGCGUAAAGGGCUCGUAGGCGGUUUGUCGCGUCGGGGGUGAAAACUCAGGGCUUAACCCUGAGCCUGCUUCCGAUACGGGCAGACUAGAGGUAUGCAGGGGAGAGCGGAAUUCCUGGUGUAGCGGUGAAAUGCGCAGAUAUCAGGAGGAACACCGGUGGCGAAGGCGGUUCUCUGGGCAUUACCUGACGCUGAGGAGCGAAAGUGUGGGGAGCGAACAGG
rnacentral:rRNA from 1 species